AGCCGAGGGGUGUGUCCGAGGACGGCUGGAGGGAGGGGCGGCAGGACUCCAGGAGCGGCGGGGCCAGGGCAUCGCGGACUCGAGUCCCGCGGAGCGUUCCAGGCGGGCGCGCGGCUUUCUCCCCAGACCCACCGAGUGGCGGCGGAGGCGAGAUGCGCGGGGGCGUGCUCCUGGUCUUGCUGCUGUGUGUCGCCGCGCAGUGCCGGCAGAAAGGCCUGUUUCCUGCCAUUCUCAAUCUUGCCAGCAAUGCUCACAUCAGCACCAAUGCCACCUGUGGCGAGAAGGGGCCCGAGAUGUUCUGCAAACUUGUGGAGCAUGUGCCAGGUCGGCCCGUCCGAAACCCACAGUGCCGGAUCUGUGAUGGCAACAGCGCAAACCCCAGAGAACGCCAUCCAAUAUCACAUGCCAUAGAUGGCACCAAUAACUGGUGGCAAAGUCCCAGCAUUCAGAAUGGGAGAGAGUAUCACUGGGUCACAAUCACUCUGGACUUAAGACAGGUCUUUCAAGUUGCAUAUGUCAUCAUUAAAGCUGCCAAUGCCCCUCGACCUGGAAACUGGAUUUUGGAGCGUUCUCUGGAUGGCACCACGUUCAGCCCCUGGCAGUAUUAUGCAGUCAGCGACUCAGAGUGUUUGUCUCGUUACAAUAUAACUCCAAGACGAGGGCCACCCACCUACAGGGCUGAUGAUGAAGUGAUCUGCACCUCCUAUUAUUCCAGAUUGGUGCCACUUGAGCAUGGAGAGAUUCAUACAUCACUCAUCAAUGGCAGACCAAGCGCUGACGAUCUUUCACCCAAGUUGUUGGAAUUCACUUCUGCACGAUAUAUUCGCCUUCGCUUACAACGCAUUAGAACACUCAAUGCAGAUCUCAUGACCCUUAGCCACCGGGAACCUAAAGAACUGGAUCCUAUUGUUACCAGACGCUAUUAUUAUUCAAUAAAGGACAUCUCUGUUGGAGGCAUGUGUAUCUGCUAUGGCCAUGCUAGUAGCUGCCCAUGGGAUGAAACUACGAAGAAACUGCAGUGUCAAUGUGAGCAUAAUACUUGCGGGGAGAGCUGUAACAGGUGCUGUCCUGGGUACCAUCAGCAGCCCUGGAGGCCAGGAACCGUGUCCUCCGGCAAUACAUGUGAAGCAUGUAAUUGUCACAAUAAAGCCAAAGACUGUUACUAUGAUGAAAGUGUUGCAAAGCAGAAGAAAAGUUUGAAUACUGCUGGACAGUUCAGAGGAGGAGGGGUUUGCAUAAAUUGCUUGCAGAACACCGUGGGAAUCAACUGUGAAACCUGUAUUGAUGGAUAUUAUAGACCACACAAAGUGUCUCCUUAUGAGGAUGAGCCUUGCCGCCCCUGUAACUGUGACCCUGUGGGGUCCCUCAGUUCUGUCUGUAUUAAGGAUGACCUCCAUUCUGACUUACACAAUGGGAAGCGGCCAGGUCAGUGCCCAUGUAAGGAAGGUUAUACAGGAGAAAAAUGUGAUCGCUGCCAACUUGGCUAUAAGGAUUACCCGACCUGUGUCUCCUGUGGGUGCAACCCAGUGGGCAGUGCCAGUGAUGAGCCCUGCACAGGGCCCUGUGUUUGUAAGGAAAACGUUGAGGGGAAGGCCUGUGAUCGCUGCAAGCCAGGAUUCUAUAACUUGAAGGAAAAAAACCCCCGGGGCUGCUCCGAGUGCUUCUGCUUUGGCGUUUCUGAUGUCUGCAGCAGCCUCUCUUGGCCUGUUGGUCAGGUAAACAGUAUGUCCGGGUGGCUGGUCACCGACUUGAUCAGUCCCAGGAAGAUCCCGUCUCAGCAAGAUGCACUAGGCGGGCGCCAUCAGGUCAGCAUCAACAACACCGCGGUCAUGCAGAGACUGGCUCCCAAGUACUACUGGGCAGCCCCCGAGGCCUACCUUGGAAAUAAGCUGACUGCGUUUGGCGGAUUCCUGAAAUACACGGUGUCCUACGAUAUUCCGGUAGAGACGGUAGACAGUAACCUCAUGUCGCAUGCUGACGUCAUCAUUAAGGGAAACGGACUCACUUUAAGCACACAGGCUGAGGGUCUGUCAUUGCAGCCUUAUGAAGAGUACCUAAACGUGGUUAGACUUGUGCCUGAAAACUUCCAAGAUUUUCACAGCAAAAGGCAGAUUGAUCGUGACCAGCUGAUGACUGUCCUUGCCAAUGUGACACAUCUUUUGAUCAGAGCCAACUACAAUUCUGCAAAAAUGGCUCUUUACAGGUUGGAGUCCGUCUCUCUGGACAUAGCCAGCUCUAAUGCCAUCGACCUGGUGGUGGCCGCUGAUGUGGAGCACUGUGAAUGUCCGCAAGGCUACACAGGGACCUCCUGUGAGUCGUGCCUCUCUGGCUAUUACCGCGUGGAUGGAAUACUCUUUGGAGGAAUUUGUCAACCCUGUGAAUGCCACGGCCAUGCAGCUGAGUGCAAUGUUCACGGCGUUUGCAUUGCGUGUGCGCACAACACCACCGGUGACCACUGUGAGCAGUGCUUGCCCGGCUUCUACGGGGAGCCUUCCCGAGGGACACCUGGGGACUGCCAGCCCUGCGCCUGCCCUCUCACCAUAGCCUCCAACAAUUUCAGCCCCACCUGCCACCUCAAUGAUGGAGAUGAAGUGGUCUGUGACCGGUGUGCCCCGGGCUACUCAGGAGCUUGGUGUGAGAGAUGCGCAGAUGGUUACUAUGGAAACCCAACAGUGCCUGGCGAAUCUUGUGUUCCCUGUGACUGCAGCGGCAACGUGGACCCCUCGGAGGCUGGUCACUGUGACUCAGUCACCGGGGAGUGCCUGAAGUGCCUGGGGAACACAGAUGGCGCCCACUGUGAAAGGUGUGCUGACGGGUUCUAUGGGGACGCUGUGACAGCCAAGAACUGCCGCGCCUGUGAAUGCCAUGUGAAAGGCUCCCAUUCUGCCGUGUGCCAUCUUGAGACCGGGCUCUGUGACUGCAAACCAAACGUGACUGGACAGCAGUGUGACCAGUGCUUGCAUGGCUAUUAUGGGCUGGACUCAGGCCAUGGCUGCCGGCCCUGCAACUGCAGCGUGGCAGGCUCCAUGUCAGAUGGCUGCACGGAUGAAGGCCAGUGUCACUGUGUCCCAGGUGUGGCAGGGAAAAGGUGUGACAGGUGUGCCCAUGGCUUCUACGCCUACCAGGAUGGUAGCUGUACACCCUGUGACUGCCCACACACUCAGAAUACCUGCGACCCAGAAACUGGAGAGUGUGUCUGCCCCCCUCACACACAGGGUGUGAAGUGUGAAGAAUGUGAGGAUGGGCACUGGGGCUACGAUGCGGAGGUGGGGUGCCAGGCCUGCAAUUGCAGUCUCGUGGGGUCGACUCAUCAUCGGUGCGAUGUGGUCACCGGCCAUUGCCAGUGCAAGUCAAAAUUUGGUGGCUGGGCCUGCGAUCAGUGUUCCUUGGGUUACAGAGACUUUCCCGACUGUGUUCCCUGUGACUGUGACCUGAGGGGGACGUCGGGGGACGCCUGCAACCUGGAGCAGGGUCUCUGCAGCUGUGUGGAGGAAACCGGGGCCUGCCCUUGCAAGGAGAAUGUCUUUGGCCCUCAGUGCAACGAAUGUCGAGAGGGCACCUUUGCUCUCCGUGCAGACAACCCCCUGGGCUGCAGCCCCUGCUUCUGCUCCGGGCUGUCCCACCUCUGCUCAGAGCUGGAGGGCUACGUGAGGACCCCAGUAACGCUGGGCUCCGAUCAGCCUCUUCUGCAUGUGGUUUCUCAGAGUAACUUGAGGGGCACGACCGAGGGGGUUUACUACCAGGCCCCCGACUUCCUGCUGGAUGCCGCCACCGUCCGGCAGCACAUCCGUGCAGAGCCGUUUUACUGGCGGCUGCCGCAGCAGUUCCAAGGAGACCAGCUCAUGGCCUAUGGUGGCAAACUGAAGUACAGCGUGGCCUUCUAUUCUUUGGAUGGCAUCGGCACCUCCAAUUUUGAGCCUCAAGUUCUCAUCAAAGGUGGUCGGAUCAGAAAGCAAGUCAUUUACAUGGAUGCACCAGCCCCAGAGAAUGGAGUGAGACAGGAACAAGAAGUAGCAAUGAGAGAGAAUUUUUGGAAAUAUUUUAACUCUGUUUCUGAAAAACCUGUCACGCGAGAGGAUUUUAUGUCUGUCCUCAGCGAUAUUGAGUACAUCCUCAUCAAGGCAUCAUAUGGUCAAGGAUUACAGCAGAGCAGAAUCUCAGACAUUUCAAUGGAGGUUGGCAGAAAGGCUGAAAAGCUGCACCCAGAAGAAGAGGUUGCAUCUCUUUUAGAGAAUUGUGUCUGUCCUCCUGGCACUGUGGGAUUCUCAUGUCAGGACUGUGCCCCUGGGUACCACAGAGGGAAGCUCCCAGCAGGGAGUGACAGGGGACCACGCCCUCUGGUUGCUCCUUGUGUGCCCUGCAGUUGCAACAACCACAGUGACACCUGUGACCCCAACACCGGGAAGUGUCUGAACUGUGGCGAUAACACAGCAGGUGACCAUUGUGAUGUGUGUACUUCUGGCUACUACGGGAAGGUGACUGGCUCAGCAAGUGACUGUGCUCUGUGUGCCUGUCCUCACAGCCCUCCUGCCAGUUUUAGUCCCACUUGUGUCUUGGAAGGUGACCACGAUUUCCGUUGUGACUCCUGUCUCCUGGGCUAUGAAGGAAAACAUUGUGAAAGGUGCUCCUCGGGCUAUUAUGGGAACCCUCCAUCACCAGGUGGCAGUUGCCAGAAGUGUGACUGCAACCCGCACGGCUCUGUCCACGGUGACUGUGACCGCACAUCUGGGCAGUGCGUUUGCAGGCUGGGGGCCUCGGGGCUCCGGUGCGAUGAGUGUGAACCGAGGCACAUUCUGAUGGAAACAGAUUGUGUUUCCUGUGAUGAUGAGUGUGUAGGUGUGCUGCUGAAUGACUUGGAUGAGAUUGGUGAUGCCAUUCUUUCUCUGAACCUCACUGGCAUUAUCCCUGUCCCAUAUGGAAUUUUGUCAAACCUGGAAAAUACAACUAAAUAUCUCCAGGAAUCUUUAUUAAAAGAAAAUAUGCAAAAGGACCUGGGAAAAAUUAAGCUUGAAGGUGUUGCAGAAGAAACGGACAACCUGCAAAAGAAGCUCACUAGAAUGUUAGCGAGUACCCAAAAGGUGAAUAGGGCAACUGAGAGAAUCUUCAAGGAGAGUCAAGACCUGGCCAUAGCCAUUGAGAGGCUGCAGAUGAGCAUCACAGAAAUUAUGGAAAAGACAACUUUAAAUCAGACUUUGGAUGAAGAUUUCCUACUACCCAAUUCUACUCUUCAGAACAUGCAACAGAAUGGUACAUCUUUGCUAGAAAUCAUGCAGAUAAGAGACUUCACACAGUUGCACCAAAAUGCCACCCUUGAACUCAAGGCUGCUGAAGAUUUAUUGUCACAAAUUCAGGAAAAUUACCAGAAGCCGCUGGAAGAAUUGGAGGUAUCGAAAGAAGCAGCAAGCCACGUCCUUUCAAAGCACAACAAUGAACUAAAGGCGGCUGAGGCGCUCGUGAGGGAAGCUGAGGCAAAGAUGCAGGAAAGCAACCACCUGCUGCUCAUGGUCAAUGCUAAUCUGAGAGAAUUCAGUGAUAAAAAGCUGCAUGUUCAAGAAGAACAAAAUCUGACCUCAGAGCUCAUUGUCCAAGGAAGAGGAUUGAUAGAUGCUGCUGCUGCACAAACAGAUGCUGUACAAGAUGCUCUAGAGCACUUAGAGGAUCACCAGGAUAAGCUACUUUUAUGGUCUGCCAAAAUCAGGCACCACAUAGAUGACCUGGUCAUGCACAUGUCCCAAAGGAACGCAGUCGACCUGGUCUACAGAGCUGAGGACCAUGCCGCUGAGUUCCAGAGACUAGCAGAUGUUCUGUACAGUGGCCUUGAAAACAUCAGAAAUGUGUCCCUGAAUGCCACCAGUGCAGCCUAUGUCCAUUACAACAUCCAGAGCCUGAUUGAAGAAUCGGAGGAACUGGCCAGAGAUGCUCACAGGACUGUGACUGAGACGAGCCUGCUCUCAGAAUCCCUUGUUUCUAAUGGGAAAGCGGCCGUGCAGCGCAGCUCCAGAUUUCUAAAAGAAGGCAACAACCUCAGCAGGAAGCUUCCAGGUAUUGCAUUGGAACUGAGUGAAUUGAGAAAUAAGACAAACAGAUUUCAAGAGAAUGCUGUUGAAAUUACCAGGCAAACCAAUGAAUCACUCUUGAUACUUAGAGCAAUUCCUGAAGGUAUAAGAGACAAGGGAGCCAAAACCAAAGAGCUGGCCACGUCUGCAAGCCAGAGCGCGGUGAGCACGCUGAGGGACGUGGCGGGGCUGAGCCAGGAGCUGCUGAACACAUCUGCCAGCCUGUCCAGGGUCAACACCACAUUACGAGAGACACACCAGCUUCUGCAGGACUCCACCAUGGCCACUCUGUUGGCUGGAAGAAAAGUCAAAGACGUGGAAACUCAAGCCAACCUUUUGUUUGAUCGGUUGAAGCCUUUGAAGAUGUUAGAGGAGAAUCUGAGCAGAAACCUAUCAGAAAUUAAACUGUUGAUCAGCCAGGCCCGCAAACAAGCAGCUUCUAUUAAAGUCGCCGUGUCUGCAGACAGAGAUUGCAUCCGGGCCUACCAGCCUCAGAUUUCCUCUACCAACUACAAUACCUUAACACUAAAUGUUAAGACACAGGAACCCGAUAAUCUUCUCUUCUACCUCGGUAGCAGCACCGCUUCUGAUUUCCUUGCAGUGGAGAUGCGGCGAGGGAAAGUGGCCUUCCUGUGGGACCUGGGCUCCGGGUCCACACGCUUGGAGUUUCCAGACUUUCCCAUUGAUGACAACAGAUGGCACAGUAUCCAUGUAACCAGAUUUGGAAACAUUGGUUCACUGAGUGUAAAGGAAAUGAGCUCAAAUCAAAAGUCACCAACAAAAACAAGUAAAUCCCCUGGGACAGCUAAUGUUCUGGAUGUAAACAAUUCAACACUCAUGUUUGUUGGAGGUCUUGGAGGACAAAUCAAGAAAUCUCCUGCUGUGAAGGUUACUCAUUUUAAAGGCUGCUUGGGAGAGGCCUUCCUGAAUGGAAAAUCCAUAGGCCUAUGGAACUAUAUUGAAAGGGAAGGCAAGUGCCGUGGGUGCUUUGGAAGCUCCCAGAAUGAAGACCCUUCCUUCCAUUUUGACGGGAGUGGGUACUCUGUCGUGGAGAAGUCACUUCCGGCUACCGUGACCCAGAUAAUCAUGCUUUUUAAUACCUUUUCACCUAAUGGACUUCUUCUCUACCUGGGUUCAUACGGCACAAAAGACUUUUUAUCCAUCGAGCUGUUUCGUGGCAGAGUGAAGGUUAUGACUGACCUGGGUUCAGGACCCAUUACCCUUUUGACAGACAGACGUUAUAACAAUGGAACCUGGUACAAAAUUGCCUUCCAGCGAAACCGGAAGCAAGGAGUGCUAGCAGUUAUCGAUGCCUAUAACACCAGUAAUAAAGAAACCAAGCAGGGCGAGACUCCGGGAGCAUCUUCUGACCUCAACCGCCUAGACAAGGACCCAAUUUAUGUGGGUGGAUUACCAAGGUCAAGAGUUGUAAGGAGAGGUGUCACCACCAAAAGCUUUGUGGGCUGCAUCAAGAACCUGGAAAUAUCCAGAUCAACCUUUGACUUACUCAGAAAUUCCUAUGGAGUGAGAAAAGGCUGUUUACUGGAGCCCAUCCGGAGUGUUAGCUUCUUGAAAGGCGGCUACAUUGAAUUGCCACCCAAAUCUUUGUCACCAGAAUCAGAAUGGCUGGUAACAUUUGCCACCACGAACAGCAGUGGCAUCAUCCUGGCUGCCCUCGGCGGGGAGGUGGAGAAGCGGGGUGAUCGUGACGAAGCACACGUGCCCUUCUUUUCCAUCAUGCUGAUCGGAGGCAACAUUGAGGUACAUGUCAAUCCUGGGGAUGGGACAGGCCUGAGAAAAGCUCUCCUGCACGCUCCCACGGGUACCUGCGGUGAUGGACAAGCGCAUUCCAUCUCCUUGGUCAGGAAUCGGAGAAUGAUCACUGUCCAAUUGGAUGAGAACAAUCCUGUGGAAAUGAAGUUGGGCGCGUUAGUAGAAAGCAGGACGAUAAAUGUGUCCAAUCUGUACGUCGGGGGAAUUCCAGAGGGAGAGGGGACGUCGCUGCUCACAAUGAGAAGAUCGUUCCAUGGCUGUAUCAAAAACCUGAUCUUCAAUUUGGAACUUUUGGAUUUCAACAGUGCAGUUGGCCAUGAGCAAGUCGACCUGGACACCUGCUGGCUGUCAGAAAGGCCUAAGCUGGCUCCCGAUGCAGAGGACAGCAAGCUCUUGCCAGAGCCCCGGGCUUUUCCAGUAGGAGCGGCUUCCUUUACUAUCAGUCAGGAACAGUGUGUGGUGGAUGCAGCUCUGGAGUACGUUCCCGGCGCUCACCAGUUUGGUCUCACCCAAAACAGCCAUUUCAUCUUGCCUUUUAAUCAGUCAGCUGUCAGAAAGAACUUUAUCCUCAUCCUGAAACAGUUCCCGGCAGACAGAGGUAGGCAGUAAUAACUCAUUAUAUGAAUGGAUGUGUAAAUGGAUGAAGGAAUGAAUACCCCUCUCUCCUGAGAUGUUCAAUGUAAACGCUGAAACAAUUGUUAGGUCCUCUUUUGAGGUUUUAAAAAUGAAAAGUAAAAGUUUCCUUUCUCAAUGCUGAGCACUUGUUUUCCCCAGGCUCUCGGUUGAGCUAAGCAUCCGCACGUUCGCCUCCAGCGGCCUGAUUUACUACAUGGCUCAUCAGAACCAAGCAGACUACGCUGUGCUCCAGCUCCACGGGGGCCGCCUCCACUUCAUGUUUGACCUCGGCAAAGGCAGAACAAAGGUCUCUCACCCUGCACUGCUCAGUGAUGGCAAGUGGCACACGGUCAAGACAGACUAUGUUAAAAGAAAAGGCUUCAUAACUGUCGAUGGCCGAGAGUCCCCCAUGGUGACUGUGGUGGGAGAUGGAACCAUGCUGGAUGUGGAGGGUUUGUUCUACCUAGGAGGCCUGCCCUCCCAGUACCAGGCCAGGAAAAUUGGAAAUAUCACCCACAGCAUCCCUGCCUGCAUUGGGGAUGUGACGGUUAACAGCAAACAGCUGGACAAGGACAGCCCGGUGUCUGCCUUCACGGUGAACAGGUGCUACGCAGUGGCCCAGGAAGGAACGUACUUUGACGGAAGCGGAUAUGCAGCUCUUGUCAAAGAGGGCUACAAAGUCCAGUCAGAUGUGAACAUCACACUGGAGUUUCGAACCUCCUCGCAGAAUGGCGUCCUCCUGGGGAUCAGCACUGCCAAAGUGGAUGCCAUUGGACUAGAGCUUGUGGACGGCAAGGUCUUGUUCCAUGUCAACAAUGGUGCUGGCAGGAUAACAGCUGCAUAUGAGCCCAAAACUGCCACUGCGCUCUGUGAUGGAAAAUGGCACACUCUUCAAGCUAACAAAAGCAAACACCGUAUCACUCUGAUUGUUGACGGGAACGCAGUUGGCGCUGAAAGUCCACACACCCAGUCUACCUCAGUGGACACCAACAAUCCCAUUUAUGUUGGUGGCUAUCCUGCUGGUGUGAAGCAAAAAUGCCUGCGCAGCCAGAUCUCGUUCCGCGGGUGUUUGAGGAAGCUAGCUCUGAUUAAGAGCCCGCAGGUGCAGUCCUUUGACUUCAGCAGAGCGUUCGAACUGCACGGAGUUUUCCUUCAUUCCUGUCCUGGGACCGAGUCCUGAACUUGAAGCAGAAUCCUCAGUUGGAAUCAUUGCUGAUAUUUUGAGGAGAAGUGUAUGUGUGAAUUAAGAAUCUCUUCAGUUCAUAUUUCAUUUCCAACUCAGGUUAAGUGUUUCUGGGGAGAGAUGUUGUGUUUACGUUACACUAAAACCACAUGUGCAACAAAUACCUCCAUUAAAUGGUCUAAAAUGUAAA